rnacentral:misc_RNA from 1 species
AACUUUUGGCAAUGGAUCUCUUGGCUCUUGCAUCGAUGAAGAACGCAGCAGAAUGCGAUAAGUAAUGUGAAUUGCAGAAUUCAGUGAAUCAUCGAAUCUUUGAAUGCACCUUGCACCCUUUGGCAUUCCGAAGGGUAUGCUCGUUUGAGUGUCAUUGUACUCUCACACUCCUGAUGCUUUUGGAUUGGGAGUGGUGGACUUGGGUGUUGCUGCUUUACUGUGGCUCACCUCAAAUGGAGUAGUGCAACUCUUGGUUGGACAUAGUAUGGCGUGAUAAGUGUCUUCGCCGGCGCCUCAUUAGAGGGUGGCUGAUCGGGAGCUCUGUGCUUCAAACCGUCUUCGGACAACGACUGACAACUUGACCUCAAAUCGAGUAGGACCACCCGCUGAACUUAAGCAUAUCAAUAAGCGGAGGCU